GAAAUGCGAUAAGUAAUGUGAAUUGCAGAAUUCAGUGAAUCAUCGAAUCUUUGAACGCACAUUGCGCCCGCCAGCACUCUGGCGGGCAUGUCUGUUCGAGCGUCAUUUCAACCCUCAGAACCCCUUGCGGGAUCUGGCGUUUGGGAUUGGCAUCCAGCCAGCCCCGAAAUCUAGUGGCGGUCCCUCCGCGACCUCCCCUGUGCAGUAGCGAUACCUCGCAGCGGGACAGCGGUCUGACCACGCCGUAAAACCCCCAACUUCUCAAGGUUGACCUCGAAUCAGGUAGGAAUACCCGCUGAACUUAAGC
rnacentral:misc_RNA from 1 species